GGCCAGACUCCUACGGGAGGCAGCAGUGGGGAAUAUUGCACAAUGGGGGAAACCCUGAUGCAGCGACGCCGCGUGAGCGAUGAAGUAUUUCGGUAUGUAAAGCUCUAUCAGCAGGGAAGAAAAUGACGGUACCUGACUAAGAAGCCCCGGCCAACUACGUGCCAGCAGCCGCGGUAAUACGUAGGGGGCAAGCGUUAUCCGGAUUUACUGGGUGUAAAGGGGGCGCAGACGGCGAUGCAAGCCAGGAGUGAAAGCCCGGGGCCCAACCCCGGGACUGCUCUUGGAACUGCGUGGCUGGAGUGCAGGAGGGGCAGGCGGAAUUCCUGGUGUAGCGGUGAAAUGCGUAGAUAUCAGGAGGAACACCGGUGGCGAAGGCGGCCUGCUGGACUGCAACUGACGUUGAGGCCCGAAAGCGUGGGGAGCAAACAGGAUUAGAUACCCUAGUA
rnacentral:rRNA from 1 species